AAAAAGGGCUUCUGUGGUGAAUGGGACAGGUAGGGCAGCUUGAUUGUCCGUUUGCAGAAUUGACAUCAAAGGAUUUCAGAAGCAUAAUUUUUUGGCACUUGGGCAGCUGGUGAUCAUUGGUCCCG